rnacentral:rRNA from 1 species
UACGUAGGGCGCAAGCGUUGUCCGGAAUUAUUGGGCGUAAAGAGCUCGUAGGCGGUCUGUCGCGUCUGCUGUGAAAACUCGAGGCUCAACCUCGGGCUUGCAGUGGAUACGGGCAGACUAGAGUGCGGUAGGGGAGACUGGAAUUCCUGGUGUAGCGGUGGAAUGCGCAGAUAUCAGGAGGAACACCGAUGGCGAAGGCAGGUCUCUGGGCCGCAACUGACGCUGAGGAGCGAAAGCAUGGGGAGCGAACAGG